rnacentral:lncRNA from 1 species
UUACAUCGUCCAUUUCUGCUUUCAUCAUUCUCUGGACCGUUUCCCCAAUUACUACACACUCUUUUGUAGCGAUAGCGGCACAACAAUCAUCAACACGAGGGAAAGCUCCACUUUUCGUUGGACGUUUUGGGACCACAGACAUUGGCAUUCUUAACUGAUGCUUCUCAUUCACCUCUACCCCUUUCUUGUCCUUCGACAU